UACAGCUCAUUAGCACAGAAAACAAGAAAGGGGCUGAGAGGAUUCCCCACAAAGAACAGGAAAACCGUGUUACCUUCUGUACUGUACCUUUUGUGACCUUUAAGCAGAACAGCAAGGACGGUCUCUUCACUGACUCACUAGACCAGAUGGCAAUCCCUGGCCCCCUCUCCCUAGUGCUGAGGUUGCUGACACCCACAGGAACACCCAGCUUUUACGUGAGUGCUGAGGCUCCAAAUUCAGAAAAUGUACAAAUUCCCAGAUGGCUCCCACUUCACUGUAUCCAACCAGAACAGAACGCCAGAGACCACCAGACAAAUGAAACGUCUAAAGACAGAGGGAAAACCCAUCAAGAGGAGAUGCUCCAUAGGAAGAAUAAUUCGAUGACUUGGGAAAACCAAGACUAACUCAUCAAGCUGAGACUUUGGGGAAACAACAAGGACACUAUACUAUUGACUCAAAAAUGAUGCUGUUAUGUUACUGACUGUAUGGCAUGCUGAUUCUCAGACUGUCCACACAAAAUCCAAAUGCCUUUUGUCAGGGUUGUUGGAGGGGAGGGCAAAAGGCACAUUUGUAAUACAAGACAUUAUGAUGUUGUUUUGCCAUGCUAAGGAUUGUUUCUAUCCUUUAGGACCAGUUGUCUGGAUAAAAGAUGGUGUACAAAUAUUUAGUGACUUGAAUGGGAGAUAUUUUGAUUGGACAAAUCUAUCUGAGCAGUCCAAACAUAAUAAUAUGGAUUUUAGCAUGAUUAAGUACCCUUUGUAAAACUCUAAUAAUGGAAUGAUGGGUGUAAAGAUGAAGAAGGAAAUGGCUGAUGUGUUGCUUACCAAAGUGGAUGCACAGUAGAGCUACCAUAGAUUAUUUGUUUCUCUUCAACAAUCUCCUGGCAUGUGUUGCUUUCAUGUGUCAGACUUGCCCCAUAUUUCUGAUCAUCAAACUACUGAUUUACACAAAAAGAUCAAUAAAAAAUCUCUCACGGUUUCAA